rnacentral:rRNA from 1 species
UACGUAGGGUGCGAGCGUUAAUCGGAAUUACUGGGCGUAAAGAGCGCGCAGGCGGUCGUUCAAGUCGCGUGUGAAAGCCCCCGGCUCAACUGGGGAGGGUCACGCGAUACUGAUCGACUCGAAGGCAGGAGAGGGAAGUGGAAUUCCCGGUGUAGUGGUGAAAUGCGUAGAUAUCGGGAGGAACACCAGUGGCGAAGGCGACUUCCUGGCCUGUUCUUGACGCUGAGGCGCGAAAGCUAGGGGAGCAAACGGG